ensembl:lncRNA
GGGAUUCAGAAGGAGGAACGCCAGGGGUCAGGUGUGAGGGAACACAACUUCCCUCUUUUAUCAGAGAACCAUGGGACACACAUCAGGGACCCUAGGUUCUGGGGUUGUUCUGCACCCUUCUGGCACUUAAUGUACGCACCUAUUGUAAGGUGUAGGUCCUGUGUGUCCACCUUGAAGCAGUCUCCCCGUCUCCAUUCCAGACCUCAACCAACCGCUAUGGAUUCAAAUUGAUGCAACUUUGAGCCGUUGGCACAAGAAGGUAAUCACUUCCUUCCCACCACAAGUGGGUCACAUCUGUACUCUGGAGGACGAUGACGAGGAUGAUGACGAGGAUGAUGACGAGGACGACCACCACGACGACCACGACCAGCUUCACGCUCUUCCACCAGUAGGUAUCAAUCACCUCGUCGGUCUGCCUCUUUAGGUCCUUCACCCUGUCCUGGGGGGCAGGCUCCAGCCCAGGGGCCACUUCCU